AUGUGGGUGAGCCCACAUCUUCAUUUCUGAUACUUUGCUUUUACUUGACCCUGCGGUAAAUAUGAUAUAAAAAAUUAAAAAUCAAAGCAAUCAUACUAAAAUUCAGAAGAAAAUCUAUAAAGGGUAUAAUACGAUACAAAAUCAAAAGAAAUAUUUGGCAAGAUUCUGAUAUCUACUUUCUUUGUUUUGCUGUGUCAAUAACAAAAAUAAAUAUAUAUGAUAUUUUUCUCUUCGAAAGAAAUAUACAGCAUGUAAUUUUUUUACAAUAUUAU
rnacentral:misc_RNA from 1 species